CCAGGAGCUGGCCUCAAAAUAGCCUCAGCGGCCUCCGGUCCCCACGGCCCGGAGCCCAGGCUGGGCGGGGCCGGGUGGGGCCCCAGCAGGGCUGGGCCUGAAGGGCAGAAUCCGGGCCUGCGGCAAACCUGGGAGGUGGGGGCUAGCAGGGCUCUCCAGGGGGAGACUCCCCCUAAGGUUGGGGCUCCCAGCCCCGUCCGGCCCCUCCCUGUUCCCAGACCCCCCAAAAAAUCCCAGCCACAUUCACUAGUCACUCAGCACAACCGGGGACAAGCCUGAGUUUCGGUAGGGACACUGCUCGAUUCAAGGGGAGCUGCGGGAUGCAGGAGCCCUGUGGAAGCCUGUGGCCGACAGCCAGCCUCGGAGGGGCUGUGGCACCCUCUCCACUAGGGACGGAGGAGGAGGAAAGGUUGCUGUGGGCAGAGCUAGGGAGCAGGUGAGGGCUCUGGCCCUGGGGAAAGAAGAGGUCUGGCCUUGCGGGAAGUGGCAACAGUGUGGGGCGAGGUCUGAGCUGGGCAGAGCGGGGUUUCCAGGACAGUUGGGAGCUGAAGGUCUGGCUGCUUGGGCCAGGGAGGGCCAGAGGGGUCUCUCUCCUCUCGUGCCCCUUUUUUGCAUCCUUAUCCCACAUCUGGCUACGCUCUCCCGCUCUGCCUUCACCCAAGCCAGGCUCAUUCCUUCCAGCGGGAACCACCUUUAAAAAGAAAUCCUGGAUGCAUGUCCCCAAGAGGCCCCAGGAGCAGAGGCCACUGUGCCCAUCUGUGGUCCCCCACGUCUUCCCACCCGCUGCCACGUUUCUGAAAAUGGACAAGGGUGGGUGGGAGGCCAUUUCAAGCUUGUGGUGGGGGGAGGGUGUAGCCCAAGUGGUAAAGUGUGUGCUGGGGUUCAAUUCCCAGUACCUCCUCUAAAAAUAAAUAAAUUAGCCUAAUUCCCUCCCUCCCUCCUCCUCCCAAACAGCAACAACAAUAAAAAAACACAUAAAGAGGCAUUCUGAUUAUACAAAUAACCUGUGUUAAGUGCAGGAUACUUUCAGAUACACAAUUAGAAAAAAAUGAAAAAAAAAAGCGAGGCGAGAGAGACUCUGACACCCCUCCCUCCAGCCUUGCUGCCUACCCAGCGUAGGGGCUCCCAGCUCUGAGCCCCCGAGAUGGAGGCUCUCCACCCUAAGGCUGGAGGCGUCUACUUUUUGUCCCUUUGCCCCAGGGGUCCAUCAGGGAGCCAGGUGGGGGGUUGAUACUCCAGUGGGGAAAGGAAUAUGUGAAAGAAUUUCAACCUAAAAUAGGACUGGAGGGUAUCAAGUGGAGAAUCUCACACAUGUGCCCUUAAGAAGACUGAGCGAGACCUGUGGGACCUUCCUGGGUUAGACACCUCCCACCCCCGACCCCACCAAACCAUGUCCUCCACCUGCCUCUCUUUUGUAGAAGAACUUUCCUAGGCCUUCCCUAAGUUCCAAAGAAUAAGUUUAAUCUAAGUAGGAAAAUGCAGAACCAAAGGGAAAAAGCCAAGCAAGACGAAAUAGUUUAGCCAUUAAACAUAGUCAAGGACCUUAACUUUCUUCUCAUGGGCUCUAGAUGAUAUUCUGAGCCAUGUCCUUGGAGCUUCAUUGCAGACACUGAAAUCCCCACCGGAUGGGAAAAGCUAAGUGCGUGCUGCCCACCAGCAAUAGACCCCAGACCGGUUGGAACCAGAAGGAUGAUGGUGUUGACUCCUGACCACCUUACCACCAACCGAUUAGAAGGAUGUCCAUGAGCUGAUCAGACAGACACAACCCCCUUCCUCACUCUGUCUUUAAAAACUUUUCCCUGAAAGCCAUCAGGGAGCUCAGGUCUCUUGAGUACUAGCUGCCUGGACUCCUUGCUCGGCACCCUGCAAUAAACGCUGUGCUUUCCUUCGCCGUAGCCAGUGCCGGUAGCCUGCCUUCCCUGCACCCAGGUGGAUGCACCCAAGUUUGCUUUGGUAACAAAUUCCCAUCAAUGCCUGAUGACAGAAAGCUGAUAGUGUAGGAAUUUUCCCAGAUAAUGGGUGGUUGAUCACAAGUUGUCUUGUAUGAAAACUUGGGAAGUUUUGCCUGGGGCAUAAAUCAAAGAUGACCCAGGUUGGGUUGGUCUCACGAAGUGGGCUGAAAUGAGCUUUGUUUGUGUGGCUGAAUGGAUUUUUUCUGCUUGGCAAGUUUUCAAGGCUGGUCCCUUUCUGGUUUUGAUUUUUAACUGACCCGAACCACACUCUCCCUGACCAUUAAUACAACCUGCUUCAAACCCUCAACAGACCCUCCUGGACCUUGCUACAGAGUUUCCUGAAUUGCAGCUCCUCUUUUAGUCCUGAAUAAACUCAUCUUUGGGGCUUUCCUCAAUUUACUUCUUCAUAUUUAGGCCAACAGAUGACACAGACAACUCAAGCUAUUCUGGUUCAUCCUGGCCACUAGGAAAGGGGGAAAUAAUGGGAUAGAGAGAGAUGGAAGGUGACAGGGCAGCGACUUUUGGUGGGAGGCAGGUGUGGGGGUCUGGAGAUAGUCCUUCAGGCUUGACAUCUGAGAAACAGCAGAAUGCAGAGGACUUAGCUUUCUUGACUCCUAGGGAGAGAGCAUUCCAGGCAGAGGAGCCAGGAAAGAACCGAUCUGCACAGAACAGCAAACAGGUGUGAAGCAGAGCAGCAUGGAGGGGCUGGGUCCUGAGUCCUGAGGAGUGGGAAUCACUGGAGAGUUCGAAGUGUGGUUAUAUCUUAAACUCACUUAUGGCUGCGGAUGCAGGAGUGGAAGCCGAAAGCCCUGGUAGAGGCGGUGGCUUUGUGUUAAAACGAGGCUGCUUGGCCUGGGCUGGGUACAGAUUGCGUGAUGAGGAGCCGCCAGACUGAGAUGCUGCGGGGCCUUUCUGCCAACCAAAGGGAGGGGGUGGGCAUGCCUUCCUGCCUGUCUGAGGAGUGCUGAGAAAGUGGGGCCCUCAGAGGAGAGUGUAGGACUGAGAAGACAAGACCCAGCUUUCAAGCCUUGGCUGCAGCCUGGCUCGUUCAUUCAACAAGUAUUUGCUGGGGAUGUUCGAGCGCUGGGGGUACCAGUGGUCCAGCGUGGCCCUGCCUGUGGGGACCUCCAUCCCAGUGAGAGGACACGGACGACAUGCAACGUGUGGCACGGUGGACAGUGAUGAGGUCCACGGAGAAGCAAGUGAGGGGUCAGGAGAGAUGCGGUUUCAAGAGGACAGUCCUGGGACGAUGGAGCGAGGACCGCCCACUGGUUUCUCCCCAUGAUCACAACUAUAAAUCCUGGACAGAGGCAGAGAGCGGAUCUCAGAGGACUGAAAGAUUGCCCACCUUGAAACCUAGAAGUGCACCCAGUGUGGACAGAAAAGGCUCCAGAGAAUUCCUCUGGUCCAAGGAACAGAAAUAAAUUUCCUGAAACCUCACCCCCAACCCCGUUUGUUUUUUCACCUUCUUACCAACACCAGCUCCUGGGUGGUAAUGUCGAGGUGGCAUUGUGAUGGCCGCGCCAGCCAGGCAGGCAUCUGAAGCCCUGAGAAGGGGAGUGAGCCUCUAACCAGAGGAGUUGAAGCCACAAGGGUGUGUGGCAACCACUCACUGCUUUCCCUCUGCCCUCACAUCUUUUUCAACCAAUUGCCUGUGGAUGGGCACUUGGGUUGUUUCCAUGUCUUGGCUCUUGUAAAUUAUUCUGUUAUGAACAACGGAGUCCAUGUAUCUUUUCCAAUUAGAGUUUUACCCUUUUAGGGUAUAUAUGCCCAGGAGUCGGACUGCUGGACCUACUUUUGGAUUUUUAAGGAAACUCCACACUGUUUUCCAUAGUGGCUGCACCAAGUUACAGUCCCUCCGAAAGUGUGGGAGGGUUCUCUUUUCUCCACACCCUCUCCAGCAUUUAUUAUUUAUAGAUGUUUUGAUGAUGGCCAUUCUGACUUGUGUGGGAUGGUACCUUGUUGUAGUUUGGAUUUACAUUUCUCUAAUAAUUCGUGAUGUUGAGCAUCUUU